rnacentral:rRNA from 1 species
AGCUCCAAUAGCGUCUAUUAAAGUUGCUGCAGUUAAAAAGCUCGUAGUUGCAUUUCCGAGGCAAGGGAUUAGUCCGACCUUUGGUGGGUAUUUAAUCCUCUUGCCUCGUCCUUGAGUGGUGCUUCUUGGUAUUAAGUUAUCGAGGAGAUAGCCGCUCAUCGUUUACUGUGAGAAAAUUAGAGUGUUCAAAGCAGGCUUAUGCCGUUGAAUAUAUUAGCAUGGAAUAAUAAGAUAGGACCUCGGUACUAUUUUGUUGGUUUGAGAACCAAGGUAAUGAUGAAUAGGGACAGUUGGGGGUAUUCGUAUUCAGUUGUCAGAGGUGAAAUUCUUAGAUUUACGGAAGACGAACUACUGCGAAAGCAUUUACCAAGGAUGUUUGCA